rnacentral:ncRNA from 2 species
UUGAAUACUGUUUCUUUUACUCAUAUAUCCCUGAUAAUUGGAUCGGGGGUUUCUACGAGGCAACCGUAAUUGCUUCUCUAUGAGCCAGAGAUGGUUCAUA